rnacentral:lncRNA from 1 species
AGCUGCUCCGCACAGCCCCGCCUGGCACGCAGCUCCAGCGGCUGGUCGGGUAGUAGUCGGUCCCGCCCACCCGGUGCGGUGGCCCCUGGGGUUUCAGUCCAAGGGGAGGGACCAGCGCUCCAAGAAGGUGAGGCUGCUGGGAUGGGUGACUCCGCCGUCACUGCAAACACGGGACGUCCCGUCUACUCCCUUACGCCUGCUUGGUCUGAGCCCGAGUCUACCUCUUCUCUAAGUCGCCAGCUCGGCACUUGUACCCGGGACCUGUGCUCCUCCCACAAGAAAUUAAAUCAUUUUUGGGAAGCCCUCAAGGUACCAUAAGCUCUGGGCAGUGUGCCUAAGACUUCUAAUGGAGAAUUUAGCCCUGUGCAGAUGAUAUUGCAGAGGAGGAAUGCUUAGUUAAUUUAGGUAAAGUAUGCACAGUAAAUACAAUUUCAUAAAAAAGCUUAUAGUCUAUGGUGUUAUGUAAACAACUAUAGACAAAUAGAAUAUUGCUUUUAUUUGUUAUCCUGUGUUAAACUGUGGCCAAAAUUACACACAUCAGUGUUAGAAAAAUUGCAGUAUUGCAGGCUUGAAGUGGUCCCCUUGUUCAAAUUACUGGCCCCUGCUGAGUGCUGGAAUACCUUCAGGGCGAUGGAAAAUUGUGGCACUCUCUUUGAUUUUAGAUUUUGGGACCAAAGCUGGCUGAUCUUUUGAUGAGUCGGUCUUAAUGAUUUGCUCUUUUAGGCCUUAUUCAAGGAUACUGGGAACCUCACACUCUUCAGAAAAAAAAAAGUUUUCCUCCUGGCAGGCCUAUCAGUUCAGUUGAAUCAAUAUGUAUUAGGUACCUCCCAUAUAGCAGCCUGUGUGCUAGGUACAUGGGUAGAGAUUUAUUAAGAAGAAUGAAAUUCAAUCCCUUACUUAGGAGCUCACAGAUGUGCAUUAACAGAAAAAUUACAAUUCAAUCUAAUCAUUCUCAUGAGUCCCUAGUUCCAUUUGUAAUAGAAGGUCCAAGGAGCAUUUGAACUGUGACUCUCAGACCCUUACCUCUUACUCUGAACUCUCAACUUCAAUCAGCACAUGCUGUUUCUAGCAGCUCUCUUCUGUCUUGGAGUCCUCACUGAAGUCCUCUAGAGUAUGUCCCUAUUGUCCCUGAAAACUGAUGGUGCUGGCUUUUCCUUUCAAAGCCUUGUUUUAAUUCUAGAUUUAAAAUAGCACUAAUGCCACAAGAAGUCUCUUACACAAUGGUAGAGUUCUCUUUCCAUAGACUUUGGAACACUGUUCUUUUGGAAAUGUUUACAAUGACACUUAUAAGAACUGGCUAUAUAUAUAUUAAUCUGCUUUGUGGUGGAAAUAAAUAUUUUGUAGAAUGCUUUGAAGCUUAGGCAAUUAGUUCUUUUUAACAAAAAUUAAUUUAAUUUUCUUUUAAGUUCCAGGAUACCUGUGCAGGACAUGACAUGCAGGUUUGUCAUGUAGGUAAACAUGUGCCAUGGUGGUUUGCUGCACCUGUCGACCCAUCACCUAGGUAUUAAGCCCCACAUGCAUUAGCUAUUUUUCCUGAUGUUCUCCCUCCCUCCACCCCCUUGACAGGCCACAGUGUGUGUUGUUCCCCUCCCUGUGUCCAUGAGUUCUCAUUGUUCAGCUCCCACUUAUAAGUGAGAACAUGUGACGUUUGGCUUUCUGUUCCUGUGUUAGUCUGUGGAGGAUAUUGGCUUCCAGCUCCAACCAUGUCUCUGCAAAGGACAUGAUCUCAUUCCUUUUUAUGGCUGCAUAGUAUUCCAUGGUGUAUAUGUACCAGCAGUUAGUUCUUAAAUUAAAAAAAAAAGCUUUCAUAUUUAAUCAAGUUAGGUUAUUUCAAUAUAUGCACCAUAAUGAUUAUUGUAAAGUAAGUUCUGUAAACUAAGGAAAAAUAACUAUUUUGUGCAAUCUCAGAAAAAUCUACUAGAUGGUAUGGGAAACAAGAAAGAGAAAUGAAGAGGCAAAUAAAAACAUGGCAUUUAUUGAGUAGCUGUAUGCUGGGAGAUUUGAACAUUCUCCUUUCCUUUCCCCUAAUUUUACGUACAGAGAAGUAACUUCUUGAAGGUUGUAUGUUCCAGCUUGCAACUAGCCAUGUUGGAUUUAGAAACAGGUCAAAGUCAAGUUCCAUGCUUUCUUCCUGUCUCAUGAUAGCAUUCUCUCCCAUUCUCUACCUGCACAUAUAUAUUUCAUAAAACUAGAAAGAGGACUCCACUAUAUUUUACAUCAUUUCUUCAAAUGAAGAAGAGAUCUGAGUUCUUCAUACCUUCAACAUGUACUUACAUUCCAGGAAUUUAACUAUCCGUAAGGUAUUUAAAUCCUACAUUCAUGAUAUUGUUUUAAUUGCCCUGAGUCAACUAAUUGACAAAGGAAAAUGCUAUGCUUAAAAGCUCAGUUCUCAGUGUAAUUAUUUUUCUCUCCCCACAUAUAAUCAUCCUUUAAAUAUAAAAGCUAUUAUAGAGAUGCAGUUUCCAGCAAACUUUAUCUCACAUUGAGGCCCUUGACUUUAUGUGGUGUUUCAGAUCAGCUUUUUUGUCAAGGGUCACACAUUCAUUCCAGCAUCACUUAAUUCUUUAGCUGUUAGUCUCCAUCCAGCACUAGGGUAGACCCUGGAGAUGCAAAAGCAAGCUAGAGACAGUACCCUUAUUCUCAUGGAGCUAAACAUUAGAGAGGUAUUGGUGUAUUCUUCGGAGUAUAUAAUGCCCUUUCCAGCUAUGGACUCUGCCUUUCUUUAUGUAUUCACCUCUUCCUGGAAGCCACUUUGAGUUGGCAGAAACACUCUGCCUGCCUCAGGAGACAGAGGGAAUUAUUUGUUGAUAAAUUGGGGAAGAAUGGCUCUAAAUGCUUACAUCAGCUCUGUCCUUCCUCUUGGGAAUGAGAUGCAUGCAGGGAGCAUUUAGCCUGCAAGGCUUCUCUGCUGCUCUUCAGGGAUGCUUCCCUGUAGGAGAGAGAUCUACCUGGGUCUGGGGUGGCCUCUUCCUCCCUGGGUGAGUGUGCCUAGUUCUGGGGUUCAGCUAGUGGGUAUCUUGGCUCUGUCACAGUUAUACCCUCCAUCAUGGCCUCUAUUGGUAAUAAAGGAGAUACUUAGCUCUCAUCUGUCUUAGUCUUCGUUCCAUUAGCAGGGAAGAGGGGUGUCAUUCAUCGUGGCUGAUUUAAAGCUACAAAACUGAUGAGCUUUCUGUAUCCCUUUCUUUCUGGCUCCUAAUUCACUUAUCCUUUGCCCAUAAUUAGCACUCAUUAUGCACUGUCCUGUUCGUUAAUUGUUACCAUGGCUAUGGCUUUUUCUUGAUGUUUUUGUGAGUCUAUCGUGUUUAUAGCUUAUGUCUUUUAGGCCCUACUUAUAAGUAGAAAGAGAACAGGAAGUGAGCUCCCCCAAAAUAGACAUGCAGUCAAUAUCACAAACCCCAAGAGGGCAAGUUCUGGAACCAGCAGAUUCCAGCUCUGCAAUAUUAGCUCUAUAACUUCACCCACAUUACUUAACCUCAGUUUCUUCCUCUGGAAAAUGGGGAAAAUAAUGACACCCUUCUCAUAUUAUCACACAUGAAGUUCCUGACACAGAGUACACACUGAAUGCAUGUGUGCUGUUAUUACAAAAAGGAAUUAAAUCAGAUGGUUUUACCUUCCUUAGAAAGAAUUAAUACAGAAAAAAAAAAAGCUCCUCAACUCUCUUAAGUACUCUGAAUGAAUGACCUCUGUAUUGCAGACUCUUUAAAGCAGCAGUCUCCAAACUUUUUAGCACCAGAGACUGGUUUCGAGGAAGACAAUUUUUCCACAGACCCGGGUGGGGUGAAGGAUGGUUUUGGGAUGAUUCAAGCCCAUUACACUUACCAUUCUAUUCUCAUAAAAGAGCGCACAACCUUGCAUGCACGGUUCACAGUUGGGUUCUGGCUCCUGUGGGAAUCUAAUGCCGCCGCUGAUCUGACAGGAAGCUGAGCUCAGGCAGCCAGUGCUGGCUUGCCUUACCUCCUGCUGUUCUGCCCAGGUCCUGACAGGCCACAGAGCAGUACUGGUCCACAACCUGGGGGCUGGGGACACCUGCUUUAAGGGAACAGUUCUUGAGAACAAACAACAUCUGCUCCAGAGGUCAUUGAUGCUUGAAGAUCAUAGUGAAAGAAGAAUGUUCUCAAAGAACAAGAUUUUUGGGUCAGAUAUUGCUAUGUUUGAAUCUCUUUCCUUCAAAUCCACUUACACAUCCUCCCUGAACCUCAUUUUUUAAAUAAAAUAAUACAAUGAUAUUUACAUAUAAUAUAAUAUUUUGAGAUUUAGGUUAAAUGGUGCAGUUGAAAGUCACUAAUAGUAUAAGGCAUAUGGCAUAUUGUACAUCAAUCUAUUGUAUUUUAUAUCAAUAUAUGUUGUAUUCAAUAUUGUUCAUUAUUCAUUGUUCAUUAUUCAAUAUGUAUUCAUAUUGUACAUCAAUAUAUGUUGAAUAACUGAAUCCAGGGAAUAUUCCUUCUGCAACUGAUUUCAAAUAGUGCCAUUACCCAGAGCUGUGGAUGUUGCCUGAGUUGACUUGUACUUACCUGCAAAGCAAGUGACCUUGAACGGGCAGAGUAAGAGGAAGAGGCCCUCCAUGGAAAACUAAACAACUGGUCCAUUUUUGUUUGAAUAAUCAAGUCUGGGAGGUGUUCCUUGUGCAGAGCACAUUAUUUUCUUUCUAUAUUGGAUAGCUGUACCCCAUUCACAGGGGUGACAUGCCAUUCAUACUGCAGCAGUAGGAAAGUCCCCAUGGUUUCUCUUUCCUCAUUCACUUUUAUAUGUAUAUAUAUUUUUUAUUAUACUUUAAGUUCUAGGGUACAUGUGCACAAUGUUCAGGUUUGUUACAUAUGUAUACACGUGCCAUGUUGGUGUGCUGCACCCAUUAACUUGUCAUUUACCUUAGGUAUAUCUCCUAAUGCUAUCCCUCCCCACUCCCCCUACUCCACAACAGGCCCCAGUGUGUGAUGUUCCCCUUCCUGUGUCUAAGUGUUCUUAUUGUUCAAUUCCCAUCUGUGAGUGAGAACACAUCAUUCACUUUUGAUGUCGGUGGAAUAGUGGCCCCCACAAAGACGUACACAUCCGGAUCCCCAGAACCUAUGAAUAUGUUCCUUUACAUGGUUUUAUGGAUUGAUCUGUAUGCUGCUAAAAUUAAUAUGUUGAAGUUGUGGCCCACAAUACCACAAAAUGUGACUAAAUUUGGAGAUAGGUCUUUUCAGAGGUAAUCAAUUUAAGAUGAGUUUAUUAGGGUAGAUGCUAAUUUAAUGUAACUUUGUUCCCAUAAGAAGGAAAAAAUUGGACACGGAGAUAAGGACAGAGGAAAGAUGAUGUGAAGACAGGGGCAGAAGUCAGCCAUCUACAAGUCAAAGGGAGACAUGUGGAACAGAUUCACCCUCACAGCCCUCAGAUGGAAGCAACACCACUAACACUUUGCUCUUGGACUUCUAGCUUCCAGAACUGAGAGACAAUAUCUUUCUGUUGCUUAAGUCAUUCUGUCUGUGAUACUGUGUUUAUGGCAGCCCUGGCAAACUAAUACAGUCCCACAAAGAUUUGGUUGUUGCUUUGCAAGAGAAUGUAUAAUUCCUGGUUAUUUCUACAAAUAAGGGCAUUGACUUUAUAAAGCUACAAGUAUACCCCAGUAUUCUGUUUCUGGUUUUUGUUUACUUUCAUAUAUGCUAUCUUUUCAUUCCCAGGUGAAAUCAUAGUGCAUUUUAAAUGAUAUUUUAAAGAGCAAUUAUACUCGUCAUAUGUACUUCAAAUAAUACUGAUUCCUCAAUUGAAGUAAUGGUAACAUGAGUGUAUUAGUUAAUUUUUUCUGAAUAACUAGUUACCUCCAAAGUUCAUGCCUUCAAGCAACACAUAUUCAUUAUUUCACAGCUUCUUUGGGUCAGGAGUCUUGGCAUAGCUUAGCUGAGUCCUCUGGCUCCUGGCGUCCCAGGCUGUAAUCAAGGUGGUGGCCAGGACUGUAGUCAUGUCAGGGCUCGCCAGGGAAGGAUCUGCCUCCAAGCUAACCAGUGUGGCUUUUGGCAGAAUAUAUUUCUAUGCAGGUUGUUGGACUGAGUUUCUUGCUGGCUGUUCCAGAGGUUCCCUUAGCAUCUUGUCGUGUGGCCUCUUCAUAGGUCAAUUCAUAUUGGCUUCAUCAAAGUGAGCAGGUAAGAUAGCAAAAGAGAAUGCCCAAGAUAGAAGCCAUAGUCUUUUUGUAAUCUAAUCUUAGAAGUGACAGCCUGUUAUAUUUGCUAUAUUCUCUUUGUUAGAAACAAGUUUCUAGGGCUGGGCAUGGUGGCUCACAUCUGUAAUCCCAGCAUUUUGGGAGGCCGAGACAGGCAGAUCACCUGAGGUCAGGAGUUCGAGACCAGCCUGGCCAACAUGGCGAAAUCCUGUCUCUACUAAAAAUACAAAGCCGAGUGUGGUGGCGCAGGCCUGUAAUCCCAGCUACUUGGGAGGCUAAGGCAGGAGAAGCACUUGAACCUGGGUGGUGGAGGUUGCAGUGAGCCAAGAUUGUGCCACUGCACUCCAGCCUGGGUGACAGAGUGAGACUCCAUCUCAAAAAACAAACAAACAAAAAACCAAAUUACUAGGUUUGUCUCAUUCUCAAGGGAAGAGUUUACUCAAGAGAAUAAAUACCAGGAGGUUGGGAUCACUGGAGGCCAGUUUAGAGUCUGCCUACCAAUAGGAGCAAGGCCAUCAAUGUCAGUCAGUGACAUCAACAUCAUGUAGACUGCUUGGCCAACAGUAAUGCUAAAAUGCCAUCAAUCUUGAGAUCAUCUUCAUCUCAUAAAUAUUAACAUGUAAAAAAAGUCAUUUUAAAGUAAAG